rnacentral:lncRNA from 1 species
AAGUUCUCCUUGCAAAUCCUGAACCACCACCCCCACAAUGAUCCCGAACCAAAACUGGACUUCCGCCAUUUCCCCCCUCUCACUCACCGUGAACAGACCAGCACGGCAGCGCCCAAGUCCUCCCAUAGAAAUAGUUCAGUUCUUAGGUGUUCUAACCAACACCAAAGUCUCUUCACUUUACCAAGGGAUCAACAAGUGAGGACUUUGUGGGUCACUUUUAUUUUUAACGGACCGGUGCCAGAAACACUGCCUCAGCAUUUAUACGUAUGUGCAUUUCAAACGAGGGUGCGUACAAUGCUGGAUUUGUUUCACGGCUCCUGUUGGAAAAAAGGACCUAUUCCUAAAGUCCGUCAUCCACUCACUGAAGAGGGCAAAUCCCAGUUGCCCACAUGCAAGGAGGCUGUCAAACAGAGAAAUCACUGCAGACUGUUGGUACACAGACAUCUGCUGCCCAGCUCAGGAGUGAAGGUAUGUAAGUUUGUAUGUACCAACAGUAAGAUAGGUAAUAGAAGAAUUGGUAUAUACUGUUUAGAUUUUAUAUUUGAAUUGUAACAACUGUUUAUCUGUUGUUUUAGCACAGACAGGCCUGUCCUCUUGUUUGGUUUAAUUUUUUGUCUGGUAUUGUGUGUUCUUACAUUAGAGAAGGUUUUGACCUACAUAAUAAUUAACAUUUCACUAAUCUACAAUUCUGAUUGCACUACCUUUUGUUUUGAUGAGGUGAUGGUGAGGACAGCCACAGCUUCCAUCUGGUAGAGGACUGCUUCCGCUCAGUCUUCCAAAUAGUGAUGAGAACAAGGAUCACCACAUCUCCCUGUUUACCCUACUUUCAUGCAUUUCGUCUGCAAGGCCCUGCAAAAGCUUCUCCUUCGUCCUCAAACCCCCAGACUUCUUAAUUAACUCAGUAACCUAUACAUUGCACAUUGGAGUGUGAAGGUAACAGUUUGUUCUAGCUUUGGAGUAGUGGUGUAUUUUUUUGGUUUACAAUAAAGUUGGCUUUAACUAUUUCA